CAGGUUUUCUCUUUGAUGAUGAUUGAUCCUGACUAGGACAAGCAAGAUCAGAGGCGGAUAACAAGCAAAUUCUAGCAGUUCCCUCUAAAGUUGUAUCUGUUCUUGCUGUGGGGUUGCGUUGAAAGCUUUGGUUGGAAAGUUUUUUCAACAGAGAUGGUCACUAGAUAAGGUUUAUGUAAUCUUUUUUUCUUUUUUUGUUUGUUUGUUUUUUUAUUUUAUUCUUAUUUUAUUUAUUGAAGUUAUAUUACUAAAUGUGUGGGUCCUUUCUGGACA